CCUACGGGAGGCAGCAGUAGGGAAUAUUGCACAAUGGGCGAAAGCCUGAUGCAGCGACGCCGCGUGGGGGAUGAAGGCCCUAGGGUCGUAAACCCCUUUCAGUAGGGACGAAAAUGACGGUACCUACAGAAGAAGCCCCGGCCAACUACGUGCCAGCAGCCGCGGUAAGACGUAGGGGGCGAGCGUUGUCCGGAUUUAUUGGGCGUAAAGGGCUCGUAGGUGGUUUCGUAGGUCGGAUGUGAAAACUCAGGGCCCAACCCUGAGACGCUAUCCGGUACUGCGAUGACUUGAGUCCGGUAGAGGAGUGUGGAAUUCCUGGUGUAGCGGUGAAAUGCGCAGAUAUCAGAAGGAACACCUACAGCGAAGGCAGCACUCUGGGCCGGUACUGACACUGAGGAGCGAAAGCGUGGGUAGCAAACAGGAUUAGGUACCCUGGUAGUCCGCGCCGUAAACGGUGGGCACUAGGUGUGGGGACUUUCAACGGUUUCCGCGCCGAAGCUAACGCAUUAAGUGCCCCGCCUGGGGAGUACGGCCGCAAGGCUAAAACUCAAAUGAAUUGACGGA
rnacentral:rRNA from 1 species